rnacentral:misc_RNA from 1 species
AAGUACAGACCAAGAGUCCCCUCUAUGACAUUAAGCAGAGCCGAAACCUGACUUCCAUAUUUUUCAGUCAAAAGCCAAAUCAUUAUUAUAGGAACAAUUAUGGAAGACACAGCAUGAGAUUUAAAAAAAUAGGGUAGGAAAUUAAAUAGGAAACUGGAGACCUACCAUUUCACUAGUAGAGUUCUUGAGAGACUGGUCGCAAGGAUAAAAUUUCAUCGAUGA